GAUGAACGCUAGCUACAGGCUUAACACAUGCAAGUCGAGGGGAAACGAUGAGAGAGCUUGCUCUCUUAGUCGUCGACCGGCGCACGGGUGAGUAACGCGUAUCCAACCUGCCUCUGACCAAGGGAUAACCCGUCGAAAGUCGGACUAAUACCUUAUGCAGUCGUCGGAAGUCAUCUGAUGACGACGAAAGAUUUCAUCGGUGAGAGAUGGGGAUGCGUCUGAUUAGCUUGUUGGCGGGGUAACGGCCCACAAAGGCGACGAUCAGUAGGGGUUCUGAGAGGAAGGUCCCCCACAUUGGAACUGAGACACGGUCCAAACUCCUACGGGAGGCAGCAGUGAGGAAUAUUGGUCAAUGGGCGUAAGCCUGAACCAGCCAAGUAGCGUGCAGGAUGACGGCCCUAUGGGUUGUAAACUGCUUUUAUGCGGGGAUAAAGUGAGGGACGUGUCCUUCAUUGCAGGUACCGCAUGAAUAAGGACCGGCUAAUUCCGUG
rnacentral:rRNA from 1 species